rnacentral:rRNA from 1 species
AUCCUUUAGCUUCGUAGAGAGCCUGCGGAGGAUCAUUC